CCGACUUUUUAUGAUUAAAUUAAGUAUGUUGUUAAUUCAAUUCAAGUUUUAAUUGAUUUAAUCAAGAUUUCAAUAGAUCUAAUGAUUUUAAACUAAUUUUUUGCUUGAAAAUGGUAGAUCUCGUAAUACUAAGGUAAGUAACUAUUUUAAACUGAUUUUCAACUCAUUUAAUCUAAUUAAAAGGUAUUUUAUCUUAAUUUAACAAAUCCUUAAUAAAAUUUAAUAAAUUUGACAUUUUCCCUUUUAAUGUUAAUACAAGCUUAAUUUUAUAAAGUUAGAUUCGUGUAAUUAAAUGAAAUUGAUGGUUUAGAUCUGUAAUUAAAUGAUAUUUAAGAUGCUUGAAUCGAAAUUGAGGCUUGGAAACGAGGUUUGAGUGUUGAAAUCCCUAUUUCAGCAAAACUAGUUAGUUUUCGAUAUUGUGAAUGAGAAGCUUCAAAUCAUUUGGGAGCUUCUACAAGCAAGGACAAAAGCAAACAAAAGUUUACUUGAGCUUUUGACAUUGAAGUAAAGGUUGCAAAGAGAAAUAUCUUGUGUGGAGUGGUGAAGUGACCAAGCUUGUGAUCCUAAGGCAAAGCAACUUAAUUGUAUAUGUGAGAUGGUUUUCUUGGAUAAUAAAGGAUGGCAAUGUGGGAUCAUUUUGAGGGAUUAGACUUUAGCUUUUGUUUUCGUUUGUAAAUGGACAUUCCAUGCACUGUUUAAGCACUUUUAUAACUAGUUUUUUUAUGCCUUUAUUGCUUGAAUUGUUGCAUGAAUGAUGUUAGAUAAAUGGUUAGGUUAUCUGUUGAUUAGCAUACAUGUCCCUUAGUGAAUUGUGGUUAUAAAUGCUUAAAUGACUGGAUGAAUGCUUGGACAAA